GUCCUUUCCUGGUGAUUGCUGAUGUGUUUAUACAGGAACCAUGGUCAUUCUACGACAGAUGCUGCACAGCUAAAGAUGAGUGCAAAGAAUAGAGAUGAGCGGUCCUAAUUCCUCCGUGGGUUGCACAGCUGUGGAUCCAGGAGAAGCUCCAUUAAACUGAGCAGGGUACACCCAUGUA